GUCUUUUUGAUUAUAAUUUAAAGUCUGACCUGCCCAAUGAGUAGUUAAAUGGCCGCGGUAAUUUGACCGUGCAAAGGUAGCAUAAUCAUUAGUUUUUUAAUUGGAAGCUGGUAUGAAUGGUCGGACGAGGGGAUUACUGUCUCAAUUUAAUUGAUAUUAGAAUUUUAUUUAUAAGUAAAAAAGCUUAUAUAAUUUUAAAAGACGAGAAGACCCUAUAGAAUUUUAUAGUUGAUUAUUUAUUUAAUGAUUAGGAUUAUAGGUUUGAUAUAUAAUUUUCUAUUUUGUUGGGGCGACAAAAAAAUUUGACAAACUUUUUUUAUUGUUUUUCAUUGAUGUAUGUGUUAUUGAUCCGUUGGUUACGAUUAAAAGAUAAAAUUACCUUAGGGAUAACAGCGUAAUUUUUUUUAGAGUUCUUAUCAAAAAAAGAGUUUGCGACCUCGAUGUUGGAUUAAAAUUAACUUUUGGUGCAGGUGCUAAAAGGUUAGGUCUGUUCGACCUUUAAAAUUUUACA
rnacentral:rRNA from 1 species